rnacentral:sRNA from 1 species
UUUUUUUGAUGAUAUUUGAAGUCUAAAUAGUAACCUACACACUUUUUCUUUAUUAUAAUUUAGUAUUUAGAAGAAAA